UCACUGUGUUCUGUCCUUUUUCUUCCAGAAGCCAGGUGUGGGGCCCAGACACGGGCAGAUGGGCCGAAGGCAGCCGUGCGUCUAUUUGCGGGAAGCACAGAUUCAACUUCGCUUAUGAGCCCAGAAGCAAGAGCAAAUAAAUGAUGGAGGACUGUGAGGAUGAGCGGUUACAGGAGAAAAAGGAAGAAAUAAUAAAAGGCAGUAAAACAAAAGUGCCGUGUGGCCCUGGAAGGAACUGAGGAGGCAAAUAAGAAAAUCCUUCUCCUUGAGAAUAUAGACCCUGCAAUUUUCUUCCAGAAUUCUCUCCCCUGCCAUUUCUCUCUCGGGGAUUGGAGGAACAAGAAGAAGAUGGGGAUGUAAGCUUUAGCCUAAAUAGAAAAAGAAGAAGAGAAAGAAGAACGAGGAGGAGGACGGGGAGGAGAAGGAGAAGGGGAAUUGUAAAGAUUAAAUGUAAAGCUCGUGUUUUUGUA